GUGGCUGUAGUUCAGCUGGUUAGAGCACCGGAUUGUGAUUCCGGUUGUCGUGGGUUCGAAUCCCAUCAGCCACCCCA
rnacentral:tRNA from 1 species